GAUGAACGCUGGCGGCGUGCCUAAUACAUGCAAGUCGAACGGACGGACGAUACGCUUGCUUCUCUGAUGUUUGGGGCGCACGGGUGAGUCACACGUGGAUAACCUCCCUGUAAGUCUGGUAACAUUUCGGGACACCGGCUCUAAUACCGUAUAAUAUCUUGAACCACGUUGUUCAAUGGUGAAAGACGGCGUUGCUGUCACUUAUAGAUGCUUCUGCGCUGCUUUAGCUAGUAGUGAGGUUAACGGCUUACCAAGGCAACGAGGGGUAGGCGAAUUGAGAGGGGGGUCGGCCGCACUAGAGGUGGGACGCGGUCCAGACUACUACGAGAGGCAGCAGUAGGGUAUCUUACGCAAUGGGCGAAAGCCUGACGCAGCGACGCCGCGCGUGUGAUGAAGGUCUUCGGAGCGUAAAAAUCUGUUAUUGGGGAAAAACAGAUGUGUAAGUAAAUGUGCACAGAUUGACGGUAACUAAUAAGAAAGCAACGGCUAACUACGUG
rnacentral:rRNA from 1 species